rnacentral:misc_RNA from 1 species
UCCUGGUUUCCCAGGCAGUCCCACCAGAGUGCCUUGUCCGAAGACAACUGGCAACUGGCAGUAGGGGUUGCGCUCGUUAGAGGACUUAACCCAACAUCUCACGACACGAGCUGACGACAGCCAUGCAGCACCUGUGUACCUGUCUAAACCGAAGCCUAGAAGACUGUAUUUCUACAGCUGUCAGAUACAUGUCAAAUCCAGGUAAGGUUCCUCGCGUAGUGUCGAAUUAAACCACAUGUUCCACCGCUUGUGCGGACCCCCGUCAAUUCCUUUGAGUUUUAAUCUUGCGACCGUACUCUUCAGGCGGAUCACUUAACGCGUUAGCUACGACACUGAAUCGACAGAGCCGAUCCAACGUCUAGUGAUCAUCGUUUACGGCGUGGACUAC